AGUAAGGUCAGCUAAUUAAGCUCUUGGGCCCAUACCCCAAACAUGUUGGUUAAACUCCUUCCUUUGCUA
rnacentral:tRNA from 5 species